CUACAUGCGAGAUACCUUGCAAUAGAGAAUGAUGUAUAGUACCGAUAACGCGUUUCAGCCGGGUAAAAGAUUAUGUUUGGUCCGUUACACACUCAAGGCCUGGGAGUUCGAGUUAUCAUACGCCGUCAUCUAAGAAUUCAAAUAUGAGAUACGCGGUACCUUUUGAGAUGAAAUUUUGCGCGAGAGGCGGUGAUGUGACUUUGGCCUCGGUCAAUUGAGGCAGCCAAACUUGUUUGCGCUCUUACAAUUUUUGUUGGCUACAUGCGAGAUACCUUGCAAUAGAGAAUGCUGUAUAGUACCUAUAACGCGUUUCAGCAAGGCGAGAUAUUAUGUUUGGUCCGUUACAGACACACACACACACACACACACACACACACACACACACACACACACACACACACACACACGGACAUGGGCAAUCCUACAGGUCGGGGCCCCCCUGGGCGCUUCGCGCUGGGGCCCCGCCCAAAAAGCACAGUAUGACCAUCAACGUCGACCGAGCAGAGAGAGCGACCACGAGGAACCGUUAAGUUACAUUCCGAGUCAAAGCCCGGUUUGACAGCAACGGCAUCAAAAGAAAAACGGCGUCCAACUGCACUCUCAAACUCUGCCAACACAGCGGGUCUAACCGCGUGGACCAAAGAACGAAUCCCCGCAAAAGGAAACUCAGGGUAGUAUCCCUCAAUACCGCCCUGAGCAAAUUCCUAGCACAGCCCCGCUUCACACAACCUUUUGAGAGCGGGACAGUCGUCCUAGAGGUGGUCAGGACUAACCACCUCACAACAAAAACAGACGGCCUUACCGCCCGUGCGCCAUCGGAGAAUUCCCACCUCCCCGUGCGUCAACCUACGGCCGAACUGGUUGACCCACUUGGUCAACUCGCAAGCUUUCGCCAACAGAGUGGUGGACUCUCCGCCAGCCAGUGCACUGGGACGGCCAGUGCCGCAACCCCUAUCCCCGCGCCCGCCACGCGAACCCGUUCUACCCCCAUGACUAUUACGCCCAGGACCGCUGCCGCGUCCCGUCUGCCUAGGGGCCCCAGCAACAGCUGCGGCGAGACGAGGACCGGGGUCCACGCGCGCCCGCUUGACUGGAGGCCCAUCUUCGUCAUAAUCCUGCAAAACAACAGAAUUCGAACGAAGAGCAGAACGGACUUUUCGUUCAGACAGGGCGCGCACUUCCUGGCCCAAAGCAUGCUGUACCAGGGCGUCGUAAGAGGGAAACGGCUUUCCAUAGACGUCUGUGGCGCAAUGGGGCUGCAGGGAAGAAGAAAGGCCUUCGAAAAACCAAAACAUACGCUCACUAGGAGUGAUCGUGGGUAUGUCCUGGAAAACGGCCUCAAGACGCGAAAGGUAAGCUGGUACACUUUCACCAGUGCGCAUCGCAAAAGAUUUGUCAGAAAGCCUAUGUCGUGCUUCUUGUUCUACAGAGAUAACUUGAGGAGCGAAACGCGUGCGCAGGUUAUCCAGAACAAGCUGAGCAGUAAGCUCGCGCUGUGAUAGAGACCACUCGUCAUACCACGUUUUUGCAGCGCCACGGAGCGCUUGCGACAAAAACAGGCAGCAUGACCGAUGGUCCCUACCCCAGGGCACGAUUUCGAAAAACAAAGACACGUCGCGGAUAAACGCCUUGACGUGGGCAGCAGUCUGCUUCGCAUCAAGCUUGGCAUCUAGCUGCAAAACAGGAGUCGGUAAACUAACCCGAGGGAGGUCGGCAGAAGAAAUCGGCCGAACCGAAGGCAAAGGCUCUGGCUCGGCUGCGGCUGCCGCCGCAACCGCAGCCCCAGCAGCAGCAGCCGCUUCCACCGCUAACGCACGCGCAGCCGCAGCACGGUGGUCCGCAUCUGUCGUCGGGGUUUCUGGUAUCACCAUUGGAACAUCCGGACGAUUCAUGUGAGUAUUUAGCGGGUUGUGCAGAGCAAAAGGGGCCAAAGAAGGCAAGGAGUGGAGACGUUCGUCACCAGUAGGACCAAGUGGCCUUAAACGAACAUUCUCGGCAGCCCCAGUGGGCAUAUGCAACAAAGGUGCUGCGGCAAAAGUUGAGAAUGGCGUUCGCGCAUCAGGUUCGCGAACAGCAACAGGGACCUCAAUAGGGCCGCCCGGACCUCUAGAAGUAGUAGGUGCACCGGGGUCGGAAACAAGUCCCGCAACAGUGUAGGCAGGCAAAGUGGAGCGAGCAUCAGGUGCGCCCGACGCCAUGUCUACACCAUUACGGUCGCCGCCCAAAUUAAACGGGGCGGGGCUAAACAUUUUAGCUAACUAAGAAGGGCCUACCCUUAUACAGCAAUGACGCAGUCACUGCCGCGGAUAGGGGAAGAGCUUGAAGUAGCGGCUCUACCUCAGUCGGGUCCAGCACACCCGUUCUAACCUCUGCAACAACAAUAUUCAUUAAUGAGCGAGGCAACCAAGGACAAAACAAUACAGAUGAUUACAAUCUUUCACUUACCCUGAAGAGCCGCCGCGAGCGCUCCAACACUGUAAGCCUAUGACCUUUACUAACAAUCGAGAUUGGUGCGGAAGAGCUGGUCGAGACCGAACGUCUCGAUACCACUUGUUGUAUCCACCUCCACUGUUUAGGUGGUAGUGAAAACUACCGAUUAGUGAAUGAGAAGAGGCUAAAUGCCUC
rnacentral:lncRNA from 1 species